UGGGGAAUAUUGGACAAUGGGCGAAAGCCUGAUCCAGCCAUGCCGCGUGAGUGAUGAAGGCCUUAGGGUUGUAAAACUCUUUCGCCGGGGAAGAUAAUGACGGUACCCGGAGAAGAAGCUCCGGCUAACUUCGUGCCAGCAGCCGCGGUAAUACGUAGGGACCAAGCGUUGUUCGGAUUUACUGGGCGUAAAGGGCGCGUAGGCGGCGUGGUAAGUCAUCUGUGAAAUCUCCGAGCUUAACUCGGAACGGUCAGAUGAUACUGCUGUGCUAGAGUACAGAAAGGGCAAUCGGAAUUCUUGGUGUAGCGGUGAAAUGCGUAGAUAUCAAGAGGAACACCUGAGGCGAAGGCGGGUUGCUGGGCUGAUACUGACGCUGAGGCGCGAAAGCUAGGGUAGCAAACGGGAUUAGAUACCCACGUAGUCCCUGAGCGGGCUGGCAAGGCGCAU
rnacentral:rRNA from 1 species